CUGCUCAGCAUGCUUUAAACUUCCUGUCCGACACAGCGGCUGAAAACGAACAAUCCUCAGGGUUCAAAGUCUCAUUCUUUGGGGAUGACCCCGUGGAUGAAAUCCAUGAGCAAGAAGAUCUGUAUAAGAUUGAGUUGUUAAAAUCUGCUAAGAUCACAUGGCAGGAAGACCAAAGAUUCCAGGAUAGCGGUUCAGGGGAGGAGGAGGAUGAACAAGAAAAUGGUGAAAAGACUCAGAUCACGACAGCAGAAGGGUCCCAAAAUGUUCUUCCGAUCUGUAAACCUGGAUGAGGAAAGGGAACGCUGGGAAGACGAUCGCUCUUUAAUUGAAGAGUACAGGAAGAGGUAUAAAGAUGCAAGAGGGAAGUUUAAGGCCAAGCAAAGGAACUAAGUAUAUAUAUAAAAUACAAGGUGCUUGAGGGCAGAAGAGAACCACAGUUGCCCCAUUAUUUGUUUUGAACACACACUGUAAAGCAGAAACGGAUUUGUGAACUGUCUUGUGAUUUGGCUCCUAAUUCUGUACAUGACAUGUAUAUUGUUGCCUGAUUUGUUUUGUCUUUUAAAGUUAAUGUUAAAAGUACAGUUUUUAUCAAUAUAAAAUUCUAAAGAAUCAUGUUACUAUAUUUUGAAGACUGACUGUACUGAAGAUGAAACAAUGAAUAUGAAAACCAUUUUAUUGUAUGCUUCUCUUUUUUUCCCCACCAGAGGGAGUCAACAUCUAAAAACAAGCAAUCUUCAUAUUUUAGGCUUAAAAUGGGAGGGCCAGGUUUCUAUGGUAAAUAA